UACUCCUACGGGAGGCAGCAGUAGGGAAUCUUCCACAAUGGACGAAAGUCUGAUGGAGCAACGCCGCGUGAGUGAAGAAGGAUUUCGGUUCGUAAAACUCUGUUGCAAGGGAAGAACAAGUAGCGUAGUAACUGGCGCUACCUUGACGGUACCUUGUUAGAAAGCCACGGCUAACUACGUGCCAGCAGCCGCGGUA
rnacentral:rRNA from 1 species